rnacentral:rRNA from 1 species
AUUGAACGCUGGAGGCAGGCCUAACACAUGCAAGUCGAGCGGAGCGGCGGACGGGUGAGUAAUGACUAGGAAUCUGCAUGGUAGUGGGGGAUAAAGUCCGGAAAGGGGAGCUAAUAACGCAUCCUAACAGAUGAGCCUAGGUGGGAUUAGCUAGUUGGUGGGGUAAAGGCCUACCAAGGCGAAGAUCCGUAACUGGUCUGAGAGGAUGAUCAGUCACACUGGAACUGAGACACGGUCCAGACUCCUACGGGAGGCAGCAGUGGGGAAUAUUGGACAAUGGGCGAAAGCCUGAUCCAGCCAUGCCGCGUGUGUGAAGAAGGUCUUCGGAUUGUAAAGCACUUUAAGUUGGGAGGCGUUACCAACAGAAUAAGCACCGGCUAACUUCGUGCCAGCAGCCGCGGUAAUUC